rnacentral:lncRNA from 1 species
GUCAUAUGUCAGGUAUCAAUCCAUAUCCAUUGUGAUUUAGGAAUGUUAGGUGAUUUCUUCCCUUUAUGGAUUAAGACCAGACUCUGCAUCAACUGUGUAAUUUUCCAUGGGAGUUUUGCCAUGGAUCCCUCUCCGGCAUGCCACAGUCCAGGUGUUAGUCCCCUUGAAACAACUUUUCCAUCACUAUUGUGGCCAGAAAGAGUCCCUGUGUGUUUUAAAAUUUGCCUGCCCAUUGAAGUCUAUG